rnacentral:rRNA from 1 species
UGGGGAAUCUUCCGCAAUGGACGAAAGUCUGACGGAGCAACGCCGCGUGAGUGAUGACGGCCUUCGGGUUGUAAAGCUCUGUUAAUCGGGACGAAUGGUUCUUGUGCGAAUAGUGCAAGGAUUUGACGGUACCGGAAUAGAAAGCCACGGCUAACUACGUGCCAGCAGCCGCGGUAAUACGUAGGUGGCAAGCGUUGUCCGGAAUUAUUGGGCGUAAAGCGCGCGCAGGCGGAUUGGUCAGUCGGUCUUAAAAGUUCGGGGCUUAACCCGGUGAUGGGAUGGAAACUGCCAAUCUAGAGUAUCGGAGAGGAAAGUGGAAUUCCUAGUGUAGCGGUGAAAUGCGUAGAUAUUAGGAAGAACACCAGUGGCGAAGGCGACUUUCUGGACGAAGACUGACGCUGAGGCGCGAAAGCGAGGGGAGCGAACGGG